GUUGCCAAGGUAAUAGAAGCACAACCACAGAUUGUUCAAAACUAAAAACCCUGGAACUGACUAUAGAGUCUGAACUUCUUUACUGCUAAGAAAUUAUAAUCGACUCUAUACCUCAUUGCCUGGCCUCUGCUCGCAGACAAGUCAUAUCUUCCAGCCACGCGAAAGGUUUAAAGUUAAUGUCAUAAAAUUUUUACUAUCCCAAUUAUACAGCACAACAACACAUUUCCAGAAAUUUACAGGGUUGUUAGUUCAAGUUUCCAGAUAAGGAAAUUGAUAAUAGAAGUGAAGAUGAAGGAUACCAACAUUAUUGGGAACAAUGUUUGAGAUAUUGAUCUAAUUAUUUCUCAAGUGUUAACUCAUUCAACCCAAGCAUGAAAGCACCCUGUAAGAAACCUGCUUGGUGAACUUGCAGCAGAAGAACAUGAGUACCAAAACUAUUUGUGUCUGUUCUGAAGGAGCCUCCCGAGGAGAGCAAACACUGCAAACCUCUGCUAGAGAAACUAUGUUUGAGUCCCAGUAUCCCAACUCUCCCACGUACUUGCUGGCUAUUCUGGGAGGCUACGAAUGUGAGUCAAACAGAUUAAAUAAAUGGUCCCUGACCACCGGUAUGGAAGAGAUACUGUUGGAACCAAGGCUCUGAGUCAUCAAAGUCGGUGAUCUGUUGAGCUCUCCCCAUCUGUGUCCCAGAUGUUACAGAAAGCCCUUGAAGACUUUGUUCAACUUUAGAGUCCAUAAUUCACAUAUAUAUUCUUGUGUGUUGAUUGCUAGUUUUAUUCAUUAAACUAAUAAAUUAACCUACUCUUUUUUUUUGUUCCAUUACUGCUUGAGUUCUCAUUUUUUGUCAGUUUUAAGUACAUGGAUAUUUUUGUCAACACAGCUGGGCAAUAUUAAACUGUUCACUAAAUUAAUUAUUUGGUUUGUUCCAAUAAUUUAUCUGCUGUGUACAAGGUGCCAGGUAAGGCAUUCAAUAAAUAUACACACAUACCGUACCACACAGUCCCUGGUUCAGAGCAUUCAUAGCAAUAUCACCCCUAAAAAUUAAAUGUGACAUGAUUGGAGAUGAUGAUGUAAAAGACUCAACCAUGACUGAACUUGAAAAAACAUUUUCACAUAAAUAAUGUUCCUGUGUGCCCAGCCAGCACUUUGCAAGGUGUCAGGGGAGCUAAAAUCCAGAGUUUAACAUUCUGGAUUAACAGAAUG
rnacentral:lncRNA from 1 species